AUCAAUGAUGAGUACCCUGGGGUGUCU
rnacentral:piRNA from 1 species